UAGGGAAUCUUCGGCAAUGGGGGGAACCCUGACCGAGCAACGCCGCGUGAGUGAAGAAGGUUUUCGGAUCGUAAAGCUCUGUUGUUAAGGAAGAACGAGUGUGAGAAUGGAAAGUUCAUGCUGUGACGGUACUUAACCAGAAAGGGACGGCUAAAUACGUGCCAGCAGCCGCGGUAAUACGUAUGGGGCGAGCGUUGUCCGGAAUUAUUGGGCGUAAAGGGUACGUAGGCGGUCUAUUAAGUCAGGUGUGAAAGCGUGAGGCUUAACCUCAUUAAGCACUUGAAACUGAUAGACUUGAGUGAAGGAGAGGAAAGUGGAAUUCCUAGUGUAGCGGUGAAAUGCGUAGAUAUUAGGAGGAAUACCGGUGGCGAAGGCGACUUUCUGGACUUUUACUGACGCUCAGGUACGAAAGCGUGGGGAGCAAACAGG
rnacentral:rRNA from 1 species